rnacentral:tRNA from 1 species
GGGCGCAUAGCUCAGCGGUCAGAGCACCGGUCUUACAAACCGGGGGUCGCUGGUUCGAUCCCAGCUGCGCCCA